AGAGCGAACGCUGGCGGCAGGCCUAAUACAUGCAAGUCGAACGGAUCCUUCGGGAUUAGUGGCGGACGGGUGAGUAACACGUGGGAACGUACCCUUUGGUUCGGAACAACUCAGGGAAACUUGAGCUAAUACCGAAUGUGCCCUUCGGGGAAAAGAUUUAUCGCCAUUGGAGCGGCCCGCGUCUGAUUAGCUAGUUGGUAGGGUAAAGGCCUACCAAGGCUACGAUCAGUAGCUGGUCUGAGAGGAUGAUCAGCCACACUGGGACUGAGACACGGCCCAGACUCCUACGGGAGGCAGCAGUAGGGAAUCUUGCGCAAUGGGCGAAAGCCUGACGCAGCCAUGCCGCGUGAAUGAUGAAGGUCUUAGGAUUGUAAAAUUCUUUCAGUCGGGGACGAUAAUGACGGUACCCGCAGAAGAGCCCCGGCUAACUCGCGCCAGCAGCCGC
rnacentral:rRNA from 1 species